AUUAUCAUGAUGUCAUUGUCACAAUUUAACAAAUUAACAUCUGAAGCCUAUUUCUUGGACAAUUGCUCCUUUGGAUGACAAUUUCUGACAACCGUGUGGAAAAAUGUCACUUCAAUUUCCCUGCUAUGAAACUGCUAUGAAACACUCCAUUGACGGAUAUAUCGUAUCGGUGAGCUUUGUACCUCCCAAAAAUCGGAAUCCGUAUCCCCAAAAAACAUAUUGUUCGUGCUCUAAGUGCGAGUGUCAUAACAAGCGCUCUGAGCUCACAGAGUGUACCACAGAGAGGGAGGGAGUGACGAGGAAGCGGAUAGGAUGAGAAGGGAGGGAGGGAAAGAGAGCAGGAGAGGGCUAGAGCAGUGAAGCUGCAAGCAGCCUGAAGAUAAAGCGUUUCCCUCUGUCGUUGCCUGCGAGCCAGGGAGAGAACAAACGAGAGAAGCCAGGCGAGAGAGAGGGAGAGGAAUACAAGGCUGCCUGCUGUUACUGUGUCUCCUGGCUUUCCUUGGACCUACAGGCCUCGACUCAAAUGCGCACACAGAGGAUUCAUACACACACCCACAGCUGAUCAGAGGAUCGCCAAGCCCGGUCGGCACACACAGACACGCUCUUGCUCUCUCCUCGGCUGCACACGCACACACAUUUCCCUUCUCUCCCGGGAGCACCGUAUAAAUUGGAUCAAUCCGACCAUGCCUGUCUGACGGGGACCUUGUUCUCCCUUCAUCCGAAUCCCCCCUUUCCUCCUCUAUCUCUCGCUGUAACCAGCCAAGGAGCGCCAGACUACCGGACUUAUCCUCUGCCUUUUGCCUUACCCAGUCAGCUGCUCGUUUACUGGCCGCGUCAGGGGGACAGCUAUAGCUGGGGGACACUGGACCUACCCUCACAAAGUCUAACCUAGCCUCCUGUAGCUUAGCCCAGCCCAGCCACCACUGGUAAUUCGAUCAACCAGACCAGAGGAGACGAGUGGAGAGGGAAGUGCAUGUUUAACCCAACCGCCUGUCUAUCUGCUUGGUUGUCUGCAACCAGACCCUCUUUGCGUGCACGCCUGUGGACUCCUACUGGGAACACAUACAGACCUGGAUGAGUGUGGAGGCUUUAUAUACUGGAGCAGUGUCGCGACGACGGCUGCAGCAGGGAUGACGGAAAAAGCCUGCCUGGCUGAGAGACGGUGACAAGGAUGGAGACGGACUGAGGGGUUAGUGAUUGGAUAGCACCAGCCACGAGCACGCUCUCCCAGCAAUCCUUUGUGGGAGGGAGCAUAAGGGGAAGGCUGCUAUCCAGGGGGGAGGCCACGUGACGUCUGGAAAGCUAAAGGGGAUGAUCUCCACUCCCUAACGCGACGUGCUCUGGAUUUUAACCUGGUACAGCACCAGAGUCUAAACUACAGGGACCACUGUCAAGAGUUGUCCGGCUUUUCCGUGAUUGCAGUCAUUUGAAGGAUUGUCGAAGAAGGAUUGUCGAAGAAGGUAGUAACGCCUACAGUUCAGUAGCUCAUCGCCUCUCUUCCUGGUCCCAUGGUCACCCUCAUCACCUGGAGUCUUCCAAGUCAGCACCGUAACGUUGACUCAACGCUCAUCUAACACCCCCCCCCCCCACCCCCAGGAGGUUUCCCUUCGUACUAAGACGACAAAGAGAUCUCUGUGGUUAACAACCGUGUGAACUGAAUUAAUCAAGCGUCACAUGACACAGCGACUCCAUGAACAGGGGGGAGGGGGGGACCGUGGGAGAUGGCGAGGAGUCUGAGCCGCCGCCGUCGUCAAGGCUCUGAUUUGAGGUUUUGAACAGUUGGCCGACUGUCCGCUAUCGCCCACCUCCAAUCUGGAUAGUGGAUAGUAGCAGAAUGGGACACCACCAGCUGCUACAAGGCUAAUGCGAUCACUGCUACUACUAUGAGUGUUGUUGACCAUUAAGGAGCUGACAGCAAUGUGAUUAUCGUAGGAGCGGCGAGGUAUUAAUAAUAUAUGAUUCUGGGUACUUGGAGGCGAGCCUGGAUAAAGUACUUGGAUUACAGUACCACCGGAACGACAGGGAAAACAAAUAGCAAACAAACUGCGCGUGUGUUCAGGGUUGCGGAAACAGAGCAGAAUUGCAGAUGACCUGAGUUGUUUUUAUUUUAUUUUUGUUGCCGAGCGACUGGUACGAUGUGCACUGAGCCGGACACACUGCUUGUGUGAGUGUGUGUCUGCACUGCAGCUCCCUCGCACCACUCACUCUAAGACAUUGCAGCUAUGAGAUGAGACGAGCACUGAUUCCAUCGCAGGCAACGCAGGAGACCCCACGGACUAAUCGAACACAGUCCGACAUUGUGUGUGUUAAAUGACUGAUUGGGUGAAAUGGACACAUCUGCAGUGCUCUGACUCACCGUCUCCUAGCCUCAUUCAACAUGUAGUAUGUAUGAGCCACGUUGACCUUACGUUCCCACCUGCCAAACCUUGGAUGAAUGAACUACCAAAGCCUGAGCCAAAUCGAUUUUCUCUUAUGCUGUGCUGAGUCUACUGACAUGUUUCUGCCUCGGUUGUCCUUGAAGUGAGUGCUGGGAUGUCCGUGACCUGCCCAUAGAGGUGGGGGCCUCGGAGAGCGAGCCAGAGCAGCUAGGGCUGAUCGCAGUGUUUCCUGAGCCUGUGUGAGGUGAGGCAACAGCUGCAGAGAGAAGAGGGGGAGGGAAGACUGGGAGAGGAGCGCCUACGGAGAGACGAGAGCUGUGACACGCAAGCCUGCAGCAAGCACCUCGGCCGAGUGGACUGAACCCGAAGGUGAGAAGGUGACGAGAGCCCACAUCCUCGCUCUAUCAUUCUGUCAUUUUUAUCUAUGCUCCUGGCAAACAGUCAGAUCUAAACCGGCUGUCGCUACACGUCACACCGAGAGCAGGUGUCACCUUGGUAUCAGAUUCGUCUGUCACUCUCUGCUACUCUCGUCUGCCUGUCCACCAGAGCGCUUCUGUUUUGCUUUCUAAUUUUGCCGCCUCUUCCCUUCCCUCCUUCAUUCACGGUCUAUCUGAGAUGGGAAGCUCCAUGGGUUGUGUGAGGCCUCCUAGGGAGGGAGGACACGGCUUCCCCCCACUGUCCCCCAACCCCAAACGACGCCUCCGCUUCCGGCGGAGACGCAAAGGGAAGAAGCACCAGAAAGGAGGGUCGUCGGUCGGCUCGGAAGUGGAAAGCAUAAGGAUAAGCAACAUACCAGAGGAAGAGGAUGAGGAGGAAGAGGACAAAGGUACCGUCACGGAGGCAACCACCGCGUCGUUCAAAACUAUGAGUGACGUCGGCGCCAAAAUCGCCAAUUUAACCGUGCCUCAGGCUCAAACUCAAUCCAGACUGCCGCUGCCCAGUGCUCUCUGUGCUGACUCCACGAGUGACAGCAUGGGGGGGUUGGGUGGUAGCAGAGUGCUGGAAGUGUCCCCUGAGCCAAGCCCAGUGUGGAGAAGGCUGUCCUACCCCGGAGCUGGGAGUGAGGAAGGGGGGACGAGCAGUACCAUAGAUGCCUCAAGCAGCCAAGGGCAACCCAGUGGCAACCCCACCCUAGACAACCCUGACAACCCUGACCCAGCUGUCCCGUCCCAGGUGCACACCACCCCUGGCGGGGGUCAAGUCUGCAAAGUCAGGGAGAGAGAACAAGGGGUCCUGGAGAGGCCUUGCAUACGAAGACCCAAGAAAGAGAGGGAAAGAGAAAAGAAACGAGAACAGGAGGAGAAAGAGGUGGAGGAUGAAGGCGGGGGGCGGGGUAGCGGGGACGCUGGGGGCUGCUUUUAACACCCCUCCGGAAAAGGAGCGCAAAGGGGUGGUCCACAUUCGUGAGGUGGGGGGCUUGCUGUGUGUUGUAAGGACAGUCUACCCCAGUGACUUUGGGUCCCCGGUUUGGAGAGGGGACAGUUACCAUGACAACGAGGUGGAAGUAGAGGUGCGUGCCGAACCUCCAGCCGCAUCCCCAGUGACUGGGAACAUCCUCAAAGUACAGCUUUCUGAGGAGGACAUCAUGAGAGCCGAAAUUGCCGCCUCCUGUCUCAAUAAGACAAAAGUCAAGGAAGGCACAGUGACUGGAAACAAAGUACAACUCUCUGAGGAGGACAGCAGGAGAGCCAAAAUGGAUGCCAGGACCGCUUUCCUGAUGGGGACCCAAGAAACUACAGAAGUCAAGGAACUUAGUCUGGAUAAACCAGCCCAGGUCCAAGAGGGGCUAUUAAUUCAGAACCCUUUUGCCUCUGGCUAUGCCAGCGAUCUGCUACUCACCUCCCCAGAGGCAGGGGGCGCCACCCAGGUAGGCAGGGUUGGCCUGACCCAAAGGAGAGACAAUAUGGACACCUCCGGUCCCAGUAUGACUACCAACCUUACGGGGACCCAGGAAACCACGAAAGUCGAGGGACCCUCGUUACAGGACCCUCUGUCCUCAGGCUAUGCCAGCGACCUCCCACUAACCUCCCCAGAGGCAGGGGGCGCCACCCAGGGAGACUGGGAAAGCUCCAGAGAGGGACUGGACUCUGCAACAGACAGUCCUCUAUCUCCACCCCAGGUCCCCACAAAGCAGUUCCCUCAGAUCUCGGAGAUCUAUGUGAGCGGUGAGUCUGGGGACCUGACGGCUAAGGAGAAGCUGUUGUUAUGGAGCCAGAAGGCCACAGAGGGCUGGCCUGGCCUCCGCUGUACCAACUUCUCCUCCUCCUGGAGCGACGGGCGCAUGUUCAACGCCCUGCUCCACCGAUUCAGGCCAGACCUGAUUGACAUGGAGGUGGUGGCGCAGCAGAGUAACCUUGACAACCUGGAGCAGGCCUUUGAGAUCGCAGAGUCACUAGGGGUGACCAGACUUCUGGACGCUGAAGAUGUGGACGUUCCGUCUCCAGAUGAGAAGUCGGUCAUCACGUACGUCUCCUCCAUCUACGAUGCCUUCCCCAAGAUCCCAGAGGGAGGAGAGGGCAUCGCAGCACACGAGGUGGACCACCGCUGGGCAGAGUACCGCUCUCGUUUCUCCAUGCUGCUCCAGUGGAGCCGGCAGCACAAGGCCCUCAUGGCCAACAAGAACUUCCCACUGGACCCUGUGGAGCUCAAGGCACUUUACAAUGAGUACGUCCAUUUCAAGGAGACCGAGAUCCCUGCCAAGGAGCUGGAGAAGAGUCGCGUAGAACACCUCUACAAACUGCUGGAGGUAUGGAUGGAGUUUGGGCGCAUCAAGCUGCCCCUGGGCCUGCACCCCAACGACCUGGAGGAGGAGUGGGGCAAGCUGAUCCUGGAGAUGCUAGAGAGAGAGAAGGCCCUGAGGCCCGCUGUGGAGAGACUGGAGUUAUUGCUGCAGAUGGCCAAUAAAAUCCAGAACAUGGCCUUGGAUUGUGAGGAGAAACUCACCCUGGCCAAGAACACACUACAGGCCGACAUGUCCCUGGUGGAGAGUGGUGAGGCUGUGCGUUGUGAGAGGGAGCUGGGCUUGUACCUGCAGGACUGUGAGGUUCUGAUCAGACAGCUCAACCUGGACCUCAACAUCCUCCGAGACGAGAAGUACUACCAGGUGGAGCAGCUCGCCUUCAGAGCGUCCUGUCUCCACGAGGAGCUGGUCUCUCUCCGGCUCCAGUGCUCCAGCGUCUACAGGAAGGGCCACUUCUCCCCGGUGACGGGGGGAGACCGGACGGCCCUGCGGGGGAGCGACAGUGGUCUCUCCCUGUCCACGGGGGCCCAGACCCUGCUGGGGGCAGUGGGGGCGAUGGGGGCAGCGUUGCUCAGGAGACCCAUGUCCCGCUCUCAGCUGGUGGCCAUGUCGUCCUCGGAGGACGAAGGAAGUCUCCGGUUCAUCUAUGAGCUCCUGGGAUGGGUGGAGGAGACACAGGACGUGCUGGAGCGUGCCGAGUGGGGGGCGGACCUGCCCUCUGUAGAGCAGAACCUCCAGGACCACCAGAACGUCCACACUGCCGUGGAGGAGCUCCUGCACAGCCUGAAGGAGGCCCGCAACUACGAGACCAAAGUCUCUCCGAACUUCAGGAGCAGUUAUUCUGACACUCUGGCCAAGCUAGAGCAUCUAUACUGCAAACUACUGGAACUCUCGUCAUGGCGUCUGCGCUGCCUGGAGAGCCUGCAUGCGUUUGUGUGUCACUGUACAGAGGAGCUGAUCUGGCUCAACGAGCGAGAAGAGGAGGAACUGGCCUACGACUGGAGUCAAAACAAUACAAACGUCAAUGCCAAGAGAGAGCUAUAUGCCGAAAUGAGGUCAGAGCUGGAGGAGAAACAGGAAGUGAUGCACUCGCUGCAGGAAACAGCUGACCGGCUCUGUCAGGAGAACCACCCGGCCAAACAGACAGUGGAGGCGUACAGUGCAGCGCUGCAGACCCAGUGGCAGUGGGUACGCCAGCUGUGUGUGUGCGUGGAGCAGCAUCUCAAAGACAAUACUACCUACUUCCAGUUUGUGAGUGACGCACGGGACUGCGAGACGUACCUGCGUCAGCUCCAGGACACCAUAAAGAGGCAGUACACCUGUGACAAGAGCAGCAGGCUGGGCAAGCUGGAGGACCUGCUGCAAGACUCUAUGGAGGAGAAGGAGCAGCUGAUUGAGUACCGCAGCUCGGUGGCCAGCCUGGUGGGCCGGGCCAAGACGGUGGUGCAGCUCCGCCCCCGCAGCGCAGAGAGCACCCUGGGAAGCACCACGCCCAUCCGCGCCAUCUGUGACUACCGGCAGAUAGAGGCUAACGCUCAGAUCACCAUCAGCCGAGGUGAGGAGUGUGUGUUGGCGGACAACUCUCAGAGGACUAAAUGGAAGGUGAUCAGCCCCAGUGGAAACGAGGCUAUGGUGCCGUCAGUCUGCUUCACCGUACCACCGCCCAACCAGGAGGCCAUGGACACCGCCAGCAGGAUGGAGCAGCUGUACCAGAACGUGAUGUCUCUAUGGCACAAUCUACACGUCAGCAUGAAGAGUGUGGUCUCCUGGCACUACCUGCAGAAAGACAUCAGGACCGUGUCCUCUUGGAGCCUGGACACGGUACGUUCCCAGACCCCUGUGGCGAGGGAGCAGGCUCUGGACCACCUGGAGGCCCACCUGGCUGACUUCCUCUCUGACAGCAAAGAGAGCGGCCUCUUCACCCCGACCGAGAGACGCGAGCUGGAGAGAGACGCCCACACCGCCCAGGAACACUGCCAGGACCUGCUGGUCAACAUGGAGACGGUCGAGAAGGAUGAGUCUGUCUCUCGGUCCUACCUGUCAGAGCUCCAGAACAUUAAACUGCGUCUGGAGGAGGCGGAGCAAAGGCUGAUGCGUGGCAUUCAGACUCCUCCCCCUAGCAACCGAUCGGGUGACAGCAUCGACAACACUGUUCAAAUUGCAGAGCAGGAGAAGCUGCAGUCAGACCUGGAUGGUCUGCGGACCAGUGUUGGUGAGGUGUCGCGUCGCUGUGUGAGUUUCUUUGAGGAGAAGCCCACCUCCUCCAGUGUCCCCGUGCUGCGCUCUGAACUCAACCUGGCUGUGGAGAAGAUCGACAGACUGCACAACCUCUCCUCCGUCUACCUGCACAAGCUGAAGUCCGUAGAUGUGCUGAUGUACAGCUUGCAGGCCGCCGAGAGCCAGGUGAAGAGGUACGAGAGCAGGCUGAGUGAGGAGGAUAUCGUCCCUGCAGACACCAACGCCAUCCAGGCCCUACGGGAACAAUUGGGGACGUGGCAGUCGGAGCUUGAGGACCAGGAAGGGGUGUUUAGCUCCCUGCAGUCAGAGGUACAGAAGGCCCGAGAGGCGGGGACUCAGCUGAACAGGCUCCACCCAGACCGCAGCCCGGAGCUGGAGCGCUACCAGGAGAAAGCCGCCCAGCUCACCGAGAGGUGGGCCGGAGUCAAGAGACAGAUGGACACACGGCGAGGGGAGCUGGAAGCCCUGGGCUCGAUCCUGCAGCAGUACAGAGAUGGUCACUCUGCUCUGAUCCACUGGAUAGAGGAGACCACUGAGAGACAGGAAAACACCCAGCCUGGAAAGACUGACAGCAAAGUCCUGUCUGAACAACUAGCACAACAAACGGCAUUAGUAGCCGACAUCGAAAAGAACCAGACCAAACUGGAUGAGUGCCAAACGCACUCAAAACAGUAUUGCACCUCUGUGAAGGACUACGAGCUGCAGCUGAUGACAUUCAGAGCAUUUGUGGAGUCGACGCAGAAGUCGACCGGGAAGAGGAGGAGGAUGCACUCUUCAUCAGACGCCAUCACGCAGGAGUUCAUGGACUUGCGCACGCGCUACACAGCCCUGGUUACCUUGACGACGCAGCACGUCAAGUACAUCAGCGAUGCACUGAGGAGGCUAGAGGAAGAAGAGAAAGAGGUGGAGGAGGAGAGGCAGCAGAGGGUAGGCCAGGUGUCAGAGCUGCUGGGCUGGGUCAAGGGCCUCCAGGGCCGAGCAGGGGACCCCUCCGCCGAGUCAUCCAUCGCAGCGCAGGAGGCCGUGAGUGAGCAGUUAGCGGCUAAGAAGGAGGAGGUGGCUAAGGUUAUCAGGAACACCCAAGUCUUCCUGAUGUCGAAACAGGCCAGCAAGUUGUCCCCAGAGGAACGUGCCCAGGUAACCUCCCAGCUGGACGAACUGACUGCCACCUACAGCCUGCUGUGUGACAGUUCCACCGCCCAACUGCAACAGCUGGUGCAACAGCAGGCCAAAGAGGAGCAGAGAAAGAGCCAAUCUGCCAUUGGCGGAGUUAUUGACCUGGGCACCAUGGAAACCGUCCCAGUCUUCCAAGCUGCACAGCGUGGCCUCAUAGACCUGGACACCUGCCAUGUCUUGUUGGAGGCCCAGCUCACCGUGGGCGGGUUGUUUCAGCCUGACUCCCCUGUGAGCCUAUCACUGGAAGAGGGCCUCAACUGUGGCCUGAUUGAUAGUCGCAUCAGCCAAUCCCUAUCAGAGCUAGAGAGUGCCUUGCAUCUUGUCGACCAGACAGAACAAUUGGAGGGCCAGCUCCUCCCAGUGGCUGCAGCCAUGGAGGCGGGCCUUAUCAAAGAGGAGGUGGGGCUGCGUAUCCUGGAGCUGCAGAUAAACACAGGAGGCCUGAGGGAUUUAGGAGAAGGUAGACUAACCUUGAAUAGUGCUGGAGAGAUGGGCCUGCUGACCCCAAGGGUCUACACCAAGCUCGGGUCACGGGUCAAUCGGCGGGAGCUUAUUGACCCCAACACAGCCGAUAAACUGAAUCUGUCUGAACUGCGGCAGCGCUGCGUCCUCAGCGAUGACACCGGCUUGUAUCUGCUGCCAGUGAAACAGCAGCCAGGAGGAACAGUCUGUCUCCGAUCUGGCAGGAAGGUCGGGAUCUUCCGUGCCGUCCAAGAGGGACUGAUUGACAGGCAAGUAGCAGUGAGAUUACUGGAGGCCCAGCUGUUUGCUGGUGGCAUCUCUGACCCCCGUUCUGGGCAUCUUCUGACUGUGAACGAUGCUGUGCGUCACAAUCUGAUGGACCAGGACCUGGCCUGUGCCAUGCUGACCCGCCAGCUGCAGAGUGGUGGGAUACUAGACCCUGUAACUGGGGAUCGCCUAGGGGUGGAGGAAGCCAUCCAGACGGACCUGCUCUCACCUCAUUUGGCCCUUCUGGUGCUCGAGUCCCUCUGGGCUUUUAUAGGGAUGCUCUGGCCUGAGUCAGGGGAGCUGCUGCCCAUUGCAGAGGCUCUACAACAAGGGGUAAUCUCGGGAGAACUAGCUUGGAACAUCCUGAGACAACGCCAUGCGAUAGGCGCCCUCUACCUUCCGGAAACCCCCAAGGUUGUGUCCCUGAAUCAGGCUAAGGAGGUCCUUGAACCCAAAGUGGCUGAGAUUCUGAAGGAGAUUCAGAUCCCAGAUGUGCUACACAAUAUGAACCAGUCAGGUUCCCCAAAACUGAAUCGCCUAAUCUGGGGCUCCACUGGCACAUCCCAUCCUCCGUCCUCUUCCCCAGGGCUCAACUGUGACCCCUCAUUCCUGGAGAAAAUGGCCCCUGAGGAGCAGGCACAUCACCGCCUGCUUUUCCAUGUAAUGACCCACAGCUAUGUGGAUGCCCAUUCUGGCCAGCGCUUAGUGCUGCUCGAGCCUGAGCUGGUGGAACUUGUCAAGGCUGCUGCUGGUCUGAUCAAUGUGGAUCCUAUACCUGGAGUGGUUGAGGAAGGGUUGAGUUUGACUACAGAAAGACAGGAGUGUAUGGAAGUGGCGGCAGAUGUAUGUUUGCCGGAUACUCCGCAGACAAGGGAAGUUGGAAAGGUCCAAGAAAAGAGUGCAAUAUUCAGCUUGCCUGAAAAAUAUACUUAUCCCAGAAAGAUGGUAGAAGACGCUGAUAAUCAAGGAUGGGAUGGUACACCUGACACAUUGCAGGCUAAUCAAACUGGAAUAAAGGAGAUGGGACAGGUAGACCUUGACUCAACCAUGCGAAUAAGUGAGGAGGUAGAUGGAGGUGUACAUAGAGAAGUAAAAGGCGAAAAGGAUGAAAUGGUUAGUUUUGAAAGUGCCCCGCCCUCAGCUGGACUACUGGAAACGCAAAUGACAGACUCGUAUGAAGAUGGGCUGGUAGCGAUGGAAUCAGAGGGCGCAAGAGAGAGUGGUCACAGGAAGGCGAAGGAGGAGGACUCACUCGUGGAAGAUGUUGACAGUCCACUUGUGGAAGCGUUAGAAAUGUACUCGACACCGGUAAAGCCAGAGACUUUGAUGCCAACCCAAUAUUUCAAAGAACCUGAUAUCUCCCUAUCAGAGGCAGAUGAAAAGGAGAGUGUGCCUGUGAGUGUUGAAGUUAAGUAUGCUGUGAAGGAUACUCAGAGGGUCACAGAGAAGACCCUGCCCCAGGUUAUGGGAUUAGAGGCAGCAGUGGUGAAGAUUGAGGAGGAUGUUGAGCUGGAAAGGUUGGCCUCGGAGCUUCAGCAAGGGGGUCUACUGACUGAAGGAGGGCAACGGCUUCUCCCAGAUGAAGCCGUGGCUCAGGGGGUCCUCCCUGGACACACUGCAGUCAAGCUGAUGGCCAAGGCAGGACUUUUCGGAGGUUUCCUGGAUGUCAGCGCGUGCGAAUCCCUGAGCAUGGAGGAUGUGAUGCAGGAGGGUCUGCUUGACGAAGACCUGAUGUGGCGUGUGCUGAAAUCAGAGAAGACCCUGGCAGGGGUAGUGGAUGUCGAGAAGGGGAAGAUUUGUUCCCUGAAGGAUGCUGCUCAGGCAGGCCUGAUAGACUCCAACACAGCUGCUCGGCUCCUGGAGGCCCAGGUGGUCUCAGGGGGAGUGGUUGACCUGCGAAGAGACAAAAAAGUGUCUGUUACCCUGGCAGCCAAACUUGGGCUGAUAGAGGAGGACCAAAGAGAUAAGCUAUUUGCAUUGGAGAAGUCAUGCCGUGGAAAAGUCUCAGACCCAGAUGCAUCACUCACCAAAGCAACGUUGCAGCUGCAAAUGAAUGGGGUUGUAGAUCCCAAAACUAAGUCACCUGUUCCCCUAAAGCAGGCCCUUGAAAGAGGUUUGCUUGGCCAGGAGGAAGUCUAUCAAGCCUUGUCCCAGCAAGUGGCGGAGGGUGGCAUCGUGCACCACAACUCUGGAGUUAGACUGUCAAUUUCUGAUGCUUUGCAGCGAGGUCUGGUAGACUGUGCCAUAUCCCCAAAACUGUGGGAGUUAGAGCGGGCAUGUCAGGGGGAGGUAGCCCUCUCUUCAAACCCAGAUGCUGCCCUCCUCCAGGCAUCCACAGGUGCCAUUUUGGACCCCGAUUUAAAGUGUAGACUUACAUUGACAGAGGCUGUCUCUGAUGGUCUGCUAAAUGAGAGCAUUGCCAAGAAAGCAAUGGUUUCUCCAGGUGUAACAGAAGGUAUUUUGGAUCCACAAAGUGCCCAAAUUGUGCCUUACUCAGACCUUGUAAACCAAGGCAAGAUUGACAUUAAGAGUGGAAAGCGCUUCUUGGAAGUGAAGCCUUUCAAGGGAAUCCAGGAUAAGCAAACAGGUGAAAUCCUGAACCUAGCUAAAGCAAUUGCAUCUCAACAAGUUGAUCCAGUCCCAGCACUCAGAAUGUUGCAAAGCCAGGCAGACACUGGAGGGAUUAUUGAUAUUUCCAAUGGAGCUAGGCUCCCUCUGCCUAAAGCCUCUAAGAAAGGGCUGGUGGGAGAACAUAUGGCCAGGCUCAUUGCCACCAACCAGGUUCUGAAAGGGGGCUUGCUUGACCCUUCCACUGGGCAGAGAGUCUCAAGCCUGAAGAAAGCUGUCAAAGAUGGGCUUAUAUCCAGAGAAAUGGCUGCAGAGCUCCAGGACAACUUGGGCUCCACGGAAGUAGAAUGUGACGAUGAGGAUAGUUCAACACCCGUUGCCUCUUCAAGUGGGACCUAUAGUCCUGCAGACACAUUAUCAAUAUCCAGUCCAGACAGCCAAACCAGACAGCCAAACCGAACCAAACCAAUAAUUAUCGAAACCUCUGAAGUGAUAUCUCCAACCCCGCAUCCAGAAGAGGCGGAAAAAAGGUACAGCAUUUUGAUGAUCGCGGAGGACAUUGCGAAGACUCUAGAAGCUGCAACAUUCACGCAGUCAGGAGCAAUGCAACACCAUGGCUCUGUUUACAUUGAAGACGAGAUGGAAGAGGAACAGGCCUCAAUAACCGGGAAGUCAUCGGAAAUUGAGUCAAACCAGUCAAUCAAUUUGUUGGCUCCGUUUACAAACUUUGCAGAGAAAAGGCUUCAGCAGGCCCUUCUGGAAAUGGAGACGCCGCAAGAUGUUACUGUUGGAACACCAGAAAAAGAUAACAAAAAUGUGUCUAGAUCAGUGGGUGAAAGAAGUUCAAUCAUGUUGCAGGGGCAGUCUGCUUUGGGCAAAGAACCACGGAUGGAUUCGACAGUGGCCAUUGGCAGAGAAGGUAGAGAUCAAGAGGGCAGCAUAGACAUGUCUACCCUAGUUGAGAGAGAUGAAGGGAAGACACAUGUGGUAGAAGACAGUACUGAGAGAGUGGUGGAGCAUGGUAGAAUGGAGGUUGAGCAGGAUACAAAGAUUGAGGCCAGAGAGCGUGAUGAUCUUGGACAUGUGUCGGUCAAUUCUAAGGAGGCCGAAGGUAAGAGCAAAAAGAAGAGGAAGAAUAAGAAGAAAGGAAAAGGAAAGGAGGUCGAUACCUCAGAAAAAGCUGAUAAACAGAAAACGGAAAACAAAGACCAGAAUGCACAUUCAGAGGGUAAAGGUCAUAAUUGUAAGGACACAGGUGCUGGGUCCACUGGAGGUUAUGUUACCCUACAGGAGAAAGAGGAGUCACCUGUGCAAGAUGUUCAAUCUGCACUCAAAGGUGCUAAGGUACAGACUGUUGAGAGGUUCGGCGAUCCAAAGGGUAUUGGCAAAGUAAGGGAAGGUUCUACAGUUCCACCAGGAGCCAUAGAAGAUGCUCCCGAGGUAGAGAGAGAGGGUACGGAGAACAAGGUCUUCUUGGUUCAAAGACGGGUAGAGAAGAACAAAACAUCCAAGAUAUCUAAAGCAUCAGAGAAGGUUGAACCUGUGACAGAAGAGAUACCAUCCAUCUGCGAUCAAGCCGAUUCUAAAGUGGCACUAACGAGGGCUCUUCUCGAAAGCUUAGACAAAAAGUCUAAGAUACCCAUAGGAGCAGAAAAGGUUGAACCAGCGACAGAGGAGAGAUCAUCCGUCCACAAGGAUGAGCAAAAGUGGGAGGUGGAGCAGAUUGUGGAAAAGAGUGAUCCAGAUGGGGCGGAGACAGUUUCUCAACAGACUGGACAGCAGGAGCAUAAGGAUAGGAAAGAGGUGGAAUUCACUCUGAAAACCACCCCAGUAGCCAAUGAUAAAGAGGCCCUUUUACUGAAGGCAAAAGAGAGCAUUCUGAGGAAGGUGUUGGGGCGUGGUGUUAGUGAGAAGCAAGCUGCAGAGAAGCUAGUGGCACUGCGUCAGGUAGUGGGGAAGAGAGAGAGUUUGGUGACGUCCGAAGAGGAGGUUAAGACUGUGGGGAGUCCUCCUGAGGUUUCACCAGAAGAGAGGGAGGGCAAGGAAAUUGACAAGAAGGGAGAAGGAGAAAGGGAGAAAGUUGCGCCUGACCAUUCUACAGUAACUGUAGCAGCAGAGGAAGUGAGGAAGGCUUUAGAAGUAGAGAAAGAGGAGAAAGUUGCGCCUGACCAUUCUACAGUAACUGUAGCAGCAGAGGAAGUGAAGAAGGCUUUAGAAGUAGAGAAAGAGGAGAAAGUUGCACCUGACCAUUCUACAGUAACUGUAGCAGCAGAGGAAGUGAAGAAGGCUUUAGAAGUAGAGAAAGAGGAGAAAGUUGCACCUGACCAUUCUACAGUAACUGUAGCAGCAGAGGAAGUGAAGAAGGCUUUAGAAGUAGAGAAAGAGGAGAAAGUUGCACCUGACCAUUCUACAGUAACUGUAGCAGCAGAGGAAGUGAAGAAGGCUUUAGAAGUAGAGAAAGAGGAGAAAGUUGCACCUGACCAUUCUACAGUAACUGUAGCAGCAGAGGAAGUGAAGAAGGCCUUAGAAGUAGAGAAAGAGGAGAAAGUUGCACCUGACCAUUCUGCAGUAACUGUAGCAGCAGAGGAAGUGAAGAAGGCCUUAGAAGUAGAGAAAGAGGAGAAAGUUGCACCUGACCAUUCUGCAGUAACUGUAGCAGCAGAGGAAGUGAAGAAGGCCUUAGAAGUAGAGAAAGAGGAGAAUGUUGCACCUGACCAUUCUGCAGUAACUGUAGCAGCAGAGGAAGUGAAGAAGGCCUUAGAAGUAGAGAAAGAGGAGAAAGUUGCGCCUGACCAUUCUACAGUAACUGUAGCAGCAGAGGAAGUGAAGAAGGCCUUAGAAGUAGAGAAAGAGGAGAAAGUUGCACCUGACCAUUCUGCAGUAACUGUAGCAGCAGAGGAAGUGAAGAAGGCCUUAGAAGUAGAGAAAGAGGAGAAAGUUGCGCCUGACCAUUCUACAGUAACUGUAGCAGCAGAGGAAUUGAAGGCUUUAGAAGUAGAGAAAGUUGCACCUGACCAUUCUACAGUAACUGUAGCAGCAGAGGAAGUGAAGAAGGCCUUAGAAGUAGAGAAAGAGGAGAAUGUUGCGCCUGACCAUUCUACAGUAACUGUAGCAGCAGAGGAAUUGAAGGCUUUAGAAGUAGAGAAAGAGGAGAAAGUUGCGCCUGACCAUUUUACAGUAACUGUAUCAGCAGAGGAAGUGAAGAAGGCUUUAGAAGUAGAGAAAGAGGAGAAAGUUGCGCCUGACCAUUCUACAGUAACUGUAGCAGCAGAGGAAGUGAAGAAGGCUUUAGAAGUAGUGAAAGAGGAGAAAGUUGCGCCUGACCAUUUUACAGUAACUGUAUCAGCAGAGGAAGUGAAGAAGGCCUUAGAAGUAGAGAAAGAGGAGAAAGUUGCACCUGACCAUUUUACAGUAACUGUAGCAGCAGAGGAAGUGAAGAAGGCUUUAGAAGUAGAGAAAGAGGAGAAAGUUGCACCUGACCAUUCUACAGUAACUGUAGCAGCAGAGGAAGUGAAGAAGGCUUUAGAAGUAGAGAAAGAGGAGAAAGUUGCACCUGACCAUUCUACAGUAACUGUAGCAGCAGAGGAAGUGAAGAAGGCUUUAGAAGUAGAGAAAGAGGAGAAAGUUGCACCUGACCAUUCUGCAGUAACUGUAACAGCAGAGGAAGUGAAGAAGGCUUUAGAAGUAGAGAAAGAGGAGAAAGUUGCACCUGACCAUUCUACAGUAACUGUAGCAGCAGAGGAAGUGAAGAAGGCUUUAGAAGUAGAGAAAGAGGAGAACGUUGCACCUGACCAUUCUACAGUAACUGUAGCAGCAGAGGAAGUGAAGAAGGCUUUAGAAGUAGAGAAAGAGGAGAACGUUCGAUCAGACCAGUCUAAAAGGGAAGAGGAAGGGGAGAAGGUUGUGUUAGACCAGAUUGAAGAAGGAAAGGAGGAGGAUACAUCUCUACCAGACCAGCUUAAAGAGUCCAAGUCGGGAAAGAAAAAUAAAAAGAACAAAAAGUCUAAGAUGGUAGAAAAAGUUGAACCUGCGACAGAGGAGAAGCCAUCCAUCCACAUUAGAGCAGAUUCAACACCGGCUGAUGUUGACAGCUCAGUCUCUGGGGAUGAGCAGAAGACUGAGAAGCAGCAAGACGGUCAAUCAGACAGUGAUGUAACAAGGGUGGCAAGGGGUGACGAGAUGAACAAAAUGGCUGCCUUUACUAAGAGUCCUAGUGGAGUUGACACCAAUCAACAAAGAUCGACCCACACCACUGCACCAUACCAAGUUGAUGUACAUCUGGAGGAGAAAACUGAGGAGGCCAUUUCUUUGGGGAGAGAAACUGAUCCGCGUGGCAAAGAAAUUGAACAAUUUAGGAUCGGUACACCUGAGAAAGAUGUCCACCCAGACGCCCAUCGUGUUGACAUUGUGGAUGCCUCUCCUGAAGCCCUUGUAUCCAUGUCGGGCGCCCAUCUGGUCAAGGCCUCUGUGGCACCUGCGACCCAGCCGGCUAAAACCACUGGCAAAAUGAAGAAGAAGAAGAAGAAACAACAGAAGGAGCAGAAACUCGACAGUCCCACUGAAAAUGAAUCUAAAGAGGAAAAGUACCUUGAGUCCACAGAAUCAGGACGGUCCUGGUCUGUUGAGACCCCACGGUCUGAUGAGAUUGUUGAAUCUGAUACAACAGAUGUACCUGAUUCUGAGACAACUGACAGCUGGAAGGAGGAUGGAGAAAUCCAAGCAUUGGAGAUAACAAAAGAGAAAAGCCCAGCUAAGAAGGGAAAGUCCUCGUUGCUCCGCCAGGAAUGCCUGGAACGUGACCAGCAAAUUGUGGCUCUGCUCUCUAUGGUGAGACACAUCGAGGUCCGCGUCAAGCAGCAGCAGCAACAGUCGAUUGGUCGCAGCCUCAUUGCUCUUGAUGACAUCAUCAAACAAACAGAUACCUUGGAUCUGGAACUUCGGGAUUUAGAACCCCAGGUCAACAAGGCAGUGGAUGCUGCUGGGCAGCUGCUGGAGCCCCGCCCACAGGAAGUCCCACCUCAGCUACUAUUGGCCUUGGAGAAGGAUGGCCGAAGCUUAGCUCGAGGUUACAAGGCUGCCAGAGGGGUCUCUGAAAACAUCCUGCAGGGGCUGCACGCACACAGAGACGCAUAUACGGAGGCAUUGACUGGAGAACAGAAGUCACUUGGAGGGCGAGUCGAGGAUAUUCUCUUCUGGCUGAAGGAGACUGAGGCACAAAUAACAGGAAUGGAUGGACAAACCCAGGGCGAGACUCCUGCUCAGCUCACACAACGGCUCCAGCUGUGCAAGGAGUUGCAGUCGUCUCUCUCGGCCCGCUCCAAUGACGUCAACACGGUGGCCUUUGACAUCCAGGUGUUCAUCUCGGAGCGGGCUCAGGACCUGGCUCCCGAACAGAGCAGGCACCUCCUGGGGCAGCUACAACAGCUCCAGAGGGGCUUCCACCGAGCGGCCGGCCAAGCCCACGCCAAGGCCGACGCCCUCGCCGCCCAGAGAGAGAUGGAGGAGGAGAGGCAGCACAGGCGCAAAGAAAAAGAAGAAGAGGAGAAGGAGAGAGAAAGAGCGAGAGAGAGUGCAAGGGAGAGAGAGGUGGUGCAGCAGCAGAAGGCAGAAUGCUCACAGAAAUUGGAAGGCCUUACGAUGUGGUUGGCUGGAGCGGCCAGCAUGCUGGCCAAUCAAAGAGCGGGAGCCGAGUCAGGUGACGUGAAUGUGCUGCAGCAGAAACAGAGAGAGUUAAAGGAAGUACAGAAGGACUUGCUGACCAGAGGCGAGGGCGUGGCGGAGACCAUCCGCUCGGUGGAGGAGUUCCUGGCGGAGCACGGUGACAGCCUGAGUCCAGAGGAGAAGGCCAACCUCCAGGGGGCACUGUCCCGUAUGAAGGAGCAGUACAGUGCACUGACCGACACGGCCCAGUCCUCCCUGGUCCAGCUAGACACGGCCAUCAGCACCACCGUCCAACAGAACACACAGAGGGCGAAGGCAGUAGAGGAGCUGCAGGAGACUCGGGGCCAGAUCGACUCGCUGCUAGAGGAGCUCUCCUCACUCAACCAGCCUGGGAUGACCGUUACUGACCACCUCUCCUCGUCCUCCUCCACAUCGCCAGAGGGAGGUCUCCAAUCACACAGCGACAUGCUCCAGGCAGAGCUCCAGCAGCUCCAGGCACAGCAGGCCCAACUGAUGCAGGUGUCCCAGAACGCUCGCUCCCUCCUGGACCAGCCCGACUCGGCAGUGCCAGCCGAGGAGAAACGCCGUCUGCGGGACCAGCUUGACCAGCUCCAGACCCAACACCAGGAGAAGCUGCGGGCCUGCCAGGAGAGGUUGAGGCGCUCGGAGGCCCUUAAGGACGAACUGGCCAAGUUCCUCCAGGAGCACGGAGGCCUGGGGACCUGGCUGGAACAGAGUGAGGGGGAGCUGGGUUCCCUGGGGGAAGGAGAGACUGACGCACAGGGCCUGAAGGGGAGACUGGAAGAGCACAGGAAGCUGGCGGAGGAUGUGAUCUGCCACAAGGCAGACCUGCGCUUUGUGUCCAUCUCUGGUCAGAAGGUGCUGGACUCUGUCCAGGGGGCUCUGGAGAAGCUAGGAGGGUCUGACCCAGCCCUGGAGGAGACCAAGCAGCUGGUCACGGGCAAGCUACAGGACGCCAACCACCGCUACACCGCACUGCACACCAAGUCGUCAGAUCUGGGCGGGCGUCUGUCGGGUCUGUUGGAGCGCUGCCAGCAGUACCAGGACGAGGCUGUGUCGCUCCACACCUGGCUCAGCACCCAGGAACAGAACCAGAGUAUAGCCGGACCCAGUGGCGAGACGGACACACAGACACUACAGAACACACUGCGGGCCGUACAGCUGUUGCAGGAUGAGCUGGCGGAGAGGUCAGUCCAGUUGGAGAAGGUGAGGAGGUCAGGUAGAGAGCUGGCCGACGCACGGGAGUCCCCCACUCUCAGAGCUGCUGAGAUCACCAGCACUGCAGAUGGUCUGGAGAAGAGGUUCAGCUCUCUGUCUCGGUCCGUGUCGGAGCGGGCUGAGCAGCUCCAGACGUCCGUAGCCCAGUCGGUCAGUGUCCAGGAGGGGCUGAAGGGUCUGCUAGCCUGGCUGGACGGCCUGCUGCUGACCCCCGGGCCCGUCCAACCUACCGCCCAGGCUGUCCAGGACGCCCUCACACAGAAUCAGAAACUACGCCAGGAGCUGUUAUCCAGACAGGGAAGUGUGGAGGCCACCUGCGACUCUGUCUCCAAACUGCUCCAGAGCUCUGACGCCUCCACGGCCUCCGGGCUCCAGGCAUCACUAGAGAGCCUGACCCAGAGCUACGCCGCGGCACAGGCCAAGCAGGCCGAGAGGGAGGCUGAGCUCCGGGGGCUCCUGCCCAAGCUGGAGAACUAUGAGAGACUGAGUGCAGACCUGCAGGGUUUCACUCAGACCUGCCUGAGAGCUCUGAGCCCUGUGGGACAGCCUGACCGCAGUGUGGAGGACUACAGACAGACCAUAGAGGGGGUGAGAGCGGAGCAGGAGCAGGAGGCAGGUCACCUGAAGUCCUUCUGCCAGCUGGGGACAGACCUGAGCCAAGCCAAGGCCCUGACCAGCACACAGACCCUACUGGACAAUGUCAGAGAGGUGUCCGAUGAGUUCGCCCGACUGGAAUCCAACAUCAAUGAAAGGUACAAUGCCAUCCAGAGUUGUGAGCAUCAGUUGGGCCAGUUCCGGUCUCUCUCUAGCUCCCUCCUCAGGUGGCUCCAGACAACACAGGAGCAGCUGCCUCUCAAAGAGCCCAACGUCAACACAGAGGCCCUGCAGAGGAGAGUGCAGCAGCUCAAGGACUUGCUGAGUGACUGGGAGGCCCAAGGGGUUCGGGUUCUGGAGCUGAACAAGACUGGAUCAGAACUGGAGACCCUUAUCAUAAACAUCACAGCCCCCCAGACCAAGACAGGUGUUCCCCAGGUCAAUGGUGCAGGAAGCCCCAGCAGUGUCAAUGGCAUUCACACAUGCAAAGACCUGACAGAGCUGCAGGUUGCGGUGGCGGAAGUGAACGGUCGUUACGAGGAGCUGGGAGAGGAACUGAAGGACCGACAGUCGCGCCAGGAGGCCUCUCUGGAGCUGAGGCAGAAGGCCAGGCAGAGCACCGAGGAGCUCAGCCGCUGGCUGGGAGACCGGGAGAACAGCCUGCACCUGGGCCAGACUGCCGCCUCCCCCUCCAAACCGGAGGUGGUACGCGCCCAGGCCCAGGAGAACAAGGCCUUACUGUCUGAGCUGGCAGAGCAUUCUGGGAAGGUGAAGGAGCUGAAGAGCACCCUGGAGAAGCUGAUAGCAGACAACCCAGACUCCCCAGAGGCAGACACCUGGAGACAACAAAUGAAGGAGAUCGACUCCCGCUGGGCAAAGGCCAAUGAGGCGGCGGUACAGAGGCAGGUGGAACUGGAGACCUGUGCUGAUAGGCUGGGCAGCUUUGCCACAGCAGCCAGUCAGUUGGGGCCGUGGCUCAAAGAGAAGGAGCUGAUGAUGAGUGUGCUGGGACCCCUGAGCAUCGACCCCAACAUGUUGAACACCCAGAAUCAACAAGUGCAGUUCAUGCUGCGUGAGUUUGACACCCGCCGGCCCCAGUUCGACCAACUCACCCAGGCGGCCGAGGGCAUCCUUUCACCGUCUGGUGGCGACUCCUCCCCGCAGGAUGCCAAGGACCUAGCGGAGGUCCGGUCGGAGCUGGGCUCCAUCUCGCAGCAGUGGGACGACCUCACUCAACGUCUGUCCCGGCGCUCCGGGCACAUCGGCCAGGCUCAGGGCACCAGCGAGCGAUACCAGGCCCUGCUGAAGAACCUCUCGGUCAACGUUGGGGCGCUAGGGGAGCGGCUGGACGGCCAAGCCUCGCUCAGUGCCCAGCCCGAGGCCCUGAAACGGCGUCUGCAGGAGACAGGCGAGAUCCGCUCUGAGCUGGAGCAGAGGAGAGAGGAGCUGGGCGAGGCAGAGAAGCUGUGCGGCGAGCUGAGUGCCAUCGUGGUUGAACCUUACCUGAGAGACGAGCUGAAGAAGAGGCUGGAGAGCGUGAGUGGCCCGCUGAGGAGUCUGGAGGAGAGGGCUGCGGACGGUCUAUCCCAGCUCCAAGCCGCUCUCUCCAGCACCCAGCAGUUCCAGCAGAUGUUCGAGGAGCUGCGGAGCUGGCUGGAUAACCAGAGUGGUCAAAGAGACUCUACCGCCGACUCCCUCCCCUGCCAGCCCGAGGCUAUCCGGACCCUGCUUGCCCAGCAAGACGAGCUUCAUCGCGGGGUGGCCAGCCAACGUGGCCCCUACGAGCUCAUCCAGGCCGAGGGGGCCUCCCUGCUCGCCUCGCUACCCGCCGGCGGUGAAGAACGAUCAGCCUUACUGUCCCGGCUUACCGCCUUACGCCAGGACUGGGAUGAGCUCAACCAGUGCAUCACGGAACGCCAGAACCGGCUGAAAUCCGCCCUGACCAAGGCCGAGAGUUAUCAGCAGCACCGCGCCGAGCUCACACCCUGGGUGGUGGAGUGCGAGGAGCGGGAAGCUGACGUCCAGCUCUCACUAGACCCUGCGGCCCUGGAUGAGGCUUUGCAGAAGGCCAGACAGCUGGGGUUGGAUCUAGAGCGCCGACGCCCCCUCCUGGAGGCUUUAAACAUUGCGGCCGACCAACUCCUGGAACACUGCCGCGUCGGAGAGGAAGACGUACGCGACGAAAAAGCCCAACUAAACCGUAGAGUCGACGGGCUGGCAGAAAACCUCCAAAACCGUGUUUCCCAACUGGAAGAGCUAGCGGGUCGACUUAAAGAGUUUGAGGACGGGCGGCAGGCGGUAGAGAGGAGGCUGGAGGCAGCGCGGCAUCAGAUCGAGGUGCAGGAGGCGCUGGGCCCACAGGCGUGCAGCAACAAGAGCCUGGAGCGGCUGAGGAGCCAGCAAGAGACGCUGCAGUCGCUGCAGCCACAGGUGGCCUACCUGAGGGAUCUGGCCCAGGGGCUGGUGCAGGACGCACCCCACACAGCAGGGGGCGGCGGAGGAGGAGAGGGAGGACAGAGGCUGGAGCAGCAGGCCCGAGACACGGACAGAGAGUUUGGAGACGUCAGCGAAAAGAUUGAAAAGUGCUGUUCCACCCUGGAGUCCCGUCUCCAGGGCGUGGGCGAGGUCCAGUCCUCGGUGCGCGACCUCUUCUCCCACCUGGCUGACCUGGACGACGAGCUAGACUCGCUGAGCCCCGUGGGGCGCGACGCCGACUCGCUUGCCUCGCAGGCAGAUGCUGUCCACGUCUUCUUAGCUCGCCUGGCCACGUUGAGGUCGGAGCUCGAAGGUCACGGAGGCGACUGCACCGACAUGCUCCGGCGCGAGGGGUCGUCUCCCGAUCUCCUCGCCCUGAGGAGAGAGACGGAGGCCCUGAGCCGCCAGGCUGGGAAGCUAUCCGAAAGGGGCCAGGCCAGAAUGGGACAGAUCGAGGUGGCUGCCGAGAAGGUGGCAGAGUUCUACGCCAAGGUGGCGGAGCUGCAAGGGCUGCUGGGACGGGCCGAGGAGGGGCUGAACGCGCAGGGCGUGGUGGGGACAGAGGUGGAGACCAUCAAGCAGCAGCUGCAUGAGUUCAAGGCGGUGGAGAGGGAGCAGGUGGACAGUAUUCAACCCAAGCUGCAGCGCGUGAACGCGGUGGGCCAGGGCCUGAUCCAGAGUGCAGCCAAACACACAGACACCCAGGCUCUGGAGCAUGACCUAGAGACCACCAACCUCCGAUGGAACUCCCUCAACAAGAGGGUUGCAGAGCGCAUUGCCCAGUUGCAGGAAGCCCUGUUGCAUUGUGGGAAGUUCCAGGAUGCCCUGGAGCCUCUUCUGAGCUGGCUGAGUGACACAGAGGAGCUGGUAGCCAAUCAGAAGCCCCCGUCGGCCGAAUACAGAGUGGUCAAGGCCCAGAUCCAGGAACAGAAGCUGUUACAAAGACUACUGGACGACCGCAGAGCCACCUUUCAGAUGAUCCAGGGAGAGGGGGAGAGGAUCGCAGCCACGGCCGAGACACAGGACAGAGACAAGAUCCAGAAGCAGCUGGAGAGUCUGGGGGAGAGAUGGGGCGAGCUGCUGGAGAAGGCCAGGGCGAGGCAGCGCCAGUUGGAGGAGCUGCAGACGCUGGCACUCCAGUUCCACGAGGCGGUGGAGCCUCUCGGAGAGUGGCUGAGUGCCACCGAGAGACGCCUGAGCACCGCCGAGCCCAUGGGAACCCAGACUUCCAAGAUCACCCAGCAGAUUACGAAACACAAGGCCGUCCAAGAGGCCGUCUCCUCUAGAGGAGCCGAGGUCGACCGCCUCCAGGCCCUCGGCCAAUCCUUGGCGCCCCUCAGCUGCGCGGCCGACCGCGAUUGGCUGGGGGAGCGCGUGGGGGCGGUGCGGCUAGGCCACUCGGAGCUCAGUGAUUGGUGCCAACGCAGGGCCGUCAUGCUGGAGCAGGCCCUGGCCAAUGCCCAGCUGUUUGGGGAGGAUGAGGUGGAGGUGCUCAACUGGCUGGCUGAGGUGGGCCAGCGGCUGGGACAGGUGUCGGUGCAGAGCUACCAGCCGGGGGUCCUCACCCAGCAGCACAAGCACACUCUGUCUCUGAAUGAAGAGAUAGUGAGCAGGAAGAAGCAGGUUGACCAGGCCAUCAAGAACGGACAGGCCCUGCUCAAGCAAACCACAGGUGAGGAGGUUCUGCUGAUCCAGGAGAAGCUGGACGGUAUCAAGUCUCGCUACGCCGAGAUGACGGGCGGGAGCAGCAGAGCCCUCCGCACACUGGAGCAGGCCCUGCAGCUAAGCACGCGAUUCGCCAGCGCCCACGACGACCUCAACCACUGGCUGGACAAGGUGGAGGCGGAGCUCAACGUCAUGGAGCCCGACGCCACGCCGGCCUAUCAGGACCGACAGAAGGAGCUGAAGUGUGUGUCAGCGGAGAAACGUCUGGUUUUGGAUACGGUCAACGAGGUGGGCAAUGCCCUCUUAGACCUGGUGCCCUGGCGUGCCCGCGAGGGUCUGGACCGCCUGGUGGCGGACGCCAACCAGCGCUACCGAACGGCGGCCGAGACCAUCACCCAGCGGGUAAAGCUGGUACAGGCUGCCAUCCAGAGGUCACAACAGUAUGAGGAGGCGGUGGACGCGGAGCUGACCUGGGCUGGGGAGACGGAGAGGAAGCUAUCCUCCCUGGGUCCUCUGAGUCUGGAGCCUGACGUCACCGUGGCCCAGCUACAGGUCCAGAGGGCCUUUAAUAUCGACAUCAUCCGACACAAAGACACCGUGGACCAGCUACUCCACACCAGGGACGACAUCCUGGAGACGUGCAGCGACCAGCAGAGAGACGCUCUGGUGGAGAAGACUGACUCCCUGUCUGCCCGCUACGAGGCGGUGAGCCAGCAGCACCAGGAGCGAUUCUCAGCCCUGGAGCAGGCCCAGGUCCUGGUGGCCCGUUUCUGGGAGACCCAGGAGGACCUGGAGCCCUGGCUGGGGGAGACGGAGACACUUAUCGCCCAGCUGCCCCCACCCGCCAUCGACACUGAGGCCCUGCGUCUACAACAGGAACAGAUGAGGCUCCUGAGGGAGUCCAUAGCGGAGCACAAGCCCCACAUCGACAAGCUGCUGAAGAUCGGCCCCCAGCUGGCCGCUCUGAGUCACCAGGAGGGGGCCACGGUGAAGCAACGCUACAGCGACGCCGAAAAACGCUACGUGGCCAUCAAGGAGGUCGUCAAGGGUCGCGCCACCACCCUAGAUGAGGCUGUGUCUCAGUCUGCGCAGCUGGUAGAGUUCCACGACAAGAUGGAUCCCCUGCUGGAGACCCUGGAAGGGGCCGUGCAGCGCCUCCGAUCCCCUCCUCCCGUGGCAGCGGAGGCAGAUAAGAUCCGGGAGCAGCUGGCCGACCACAAGGCAACAGGGCUGGAGCUGGACAAACUGCUGCCCUCCUUCUCGGCCCUGUGUGCCCGCGGCGAGGAGCUCAUCAGUAGAGCAGCCCACGACGACCCUGCCGCUCAGGCCGUGCGUUCCCGUCUGCUGCGCCUUCGCUCCCUGUGGGAUGAGAUCCGGCAGAGGGCUGAGGAACGGGAGGGGAAGCUGACGGACGUCUUGGACCUGGCUGGGAAGUUCUGGGCCGACAUGGCGGCGCUACUGAGCACGCUCCGUGACUCGCAGGACAUCGUCAGGGAGCUGGAGGAUCCCGGGGUGGACCCCUCACUCAUCAAACAGCAGAUAGAGGCUGCAGAGGCCAUCAAGGCCGAGACAGACGGGCUGAGGGAGGAGCUGGAGUUUGUACGAACCCUUGGGGCUGACCUCAUCUUCGCCUGCGGAGAAACGGAGAAGCCUGAGGUCAAGAAGACCAUCGACGAGAUGAAUGCCGCCUGGGAAGGCCUGAACCGGACCUGGCGAGAGAGGAUGGAGAGGUUGGAGGAGGCCAUGACGGCUUCUGUGCAGUACCAGGAUGCAUUGCAGAGCAUGUUUGACUACCUGGACAACGCAGUGAUCAAGCUGUGUGACAUGUCCACUGUGGGCACUGAUCUGGGAACUGUCAAACAGCAGAUCGAAGAGCUCAAGCACUACAAGGUGGAGGUGUACCAGCAGCAGAUAGACAUGGAGAAGCUGUGCCACCAGGGGGAGCUGUUGCUCAAGAAGGUCUCGGACCAGACCGACAGAGACAUGAUCCAGGAGCCCCUCACGGAGCUCCGACACCUCUGGGACAACCUGGGGGACAAGAUCACUCACAGACAGCAUAAGUUGGAGGGUGCGCUCCUGGCACUCGGUCAGUUCCAGCAUGCUUUGUCUGAGCUGCAGUCCUGGCUGAGUCACACCCACGCCACCCUGGACACACAGAGACCCGUCAACUCUGACCCCAAGGCCAUCGAGAUAGAACUGGCCAAGCACCACGUGCUGAGGAACGACGUGCUGUCCCAUCGGUCCACGGUGGAGACGGUGAACGCGGCGGGGGCCGAGCUGCUGGAGUCCAGUCCCGGGGACGAGGCCAACCACCUCCGCGGCCAGCUGGACCACCUCAACCGCGGCUGGGAGAACCUGCUACUCAAGACCCAGGACCGACAGAAACUACUGGAGGCCGCACUGCACCAGGCGGAGGGUUUCCAUGGUGAGCUAGAGGAGUUCCUGCAGUGGCUGAGGAGGACAGAGAGCCAGCUGUCUUCAGCCAAACCCACAGGUGGCCUGCCUGAGACGGCCCGGGAGCAGCUGCAGCAGCACCUGGAGCUCCAGACCCAGUUGGCCCAGCGCGCUGAGCAGUACAACCGGCUGCUGGACGCGGGAGAGUCCAUGUUGCUUUCCCGCGGGGGGGAGGAGGGUGGCCCCGGAGCUGGUACGACCCAGACUCAACAGAACUUGGCCCUGCUGCAGAACAAGUGGGCCAGCCUGAACACCAAGAUGGACGACCGCACGGCGAAGCUGGACGAGGCGGUGUCGCUGGCCACAGGGUUCCAGUCCUCCCUCCAGGACACCAUCAACUGGCUGACCCAGGCAGAGCAGACCCUCAACAUGGCCCAGCCCCCCUCCCUCAUCCUGGACACUGUACUCUUUCAGAUAGACGAACACAAGGUGUUUGUGAAUGAGGUGAACACCCACAGGGAGCAGGUGCUGGCCCUGGAGAAGGCCGGUUCUCAGCUGCGUUUCGCCAGUAUAAAGCAGGAUGUGGUUCUGAUCAAGAACCUGCUGCUGAGUGUACAGGCCCGCUGGGACAAGCUGGUGCAGAGGUCCCUGGACCGUGGCAGACACCUCGACGAGGCCCGCAAGAGGGCCAAACAGUUCCAUGAGGCGUGGAGGAAACUGUCUGACUGGCUGGAGGAGGCUGAGAGCCGGCUCGACUCAGAGCUGGAGAUCUCCAACGAACCAGACAAGAUCAGAGUACAACUGACCAAACACAAGGAGUUUCAGAAGGCUCUGGGCUCGAAGCAGCCGGUGUAUGACACCACAGUGAGGUCUGGUAAGGCCAUGAGGGACAAGGCCACGCUGCCCGAAGACACCCAGAAACUAGACCACCUACUGGGGGAGGUCAGGGACAAGUGGGACACCGUUUGUGGGAAGAGUGUGGAGAGGCAACACAAGCUGGAGGAGGCCCUGCUGUUCUCAGGUCAGUUUGCUGAGGCCCUGCAGGCCCUGGUGGACUGGCUGUACCGUGUAGAACCCCAGUUGGCUGAAGACCUGCCAGUCCAUGGAGACCUGGACCUGGUCUCCAACCUCAUGGACUCACACAAGGCCUUCCAGAAGGAGUUGGGGAAGAGGACCACUAGUGUCCACGCCUUGAAGCGCUCAGCCAGAGAACUGAUGGAGACGGGCCGCGACGACACCGCCUGGGUCAAAGUUCAACUGCAAGAGCUCAGCAACCGCUGGGACAUAGUCUGUGCCCUGUCCGUCACCAAGCAGACCCGUCUUCAGCAGGCCCUCAAACAGGCGGAGGAGUUCCGCACGACGGUGCGGCUGCUGCUGGAGUGGCUGUCGGAGGCGGAGCAGACGCUGCGUUUCCGCGGCGUGCUGCCCGAGGAGGCGGAGACUCUGCAGGCGCUGCUCCACACCCACCGGAACUUCAUGGCCACGGUGGAGGAGAAGAGGACAGACGUGAACCGGGCAGCGGGCCAGGGCGAGGCCAUCCUCACCGCGUGCCAGGCCGACUGCAUCACCACCAUCAAACACUGGAUAACCAUUAUCCGCGCCCGCUUCGAAGAGGUCCUCACAUGGGCCAAACAGCACGAGCAGCGUCUGGAGUCGGCUCUGACAGAGCUACUCAACAACGCCACGCUGUUGGAGGAGCUGUUGUCAUGGCUGCAGUGGGCAGAGACCACCCUAGUCCAGCGUGACGGAGAGACCCUUCCACAGGACAUCUCUCAGCUCAAAACACUCAUCACAGAACACCAGGUGUUUAUGGAGGAGAUGACCCGGAAGCAGCCUGACGUGGACAAAGUGACCAAGACUUACAAGAGGAAACCAGCAGAGCCCCCUAGCAGCCUAGCUGAGAGGAGAGGAGCUCGUAAAAACCAGCAGCAACAACAGCAUCAACAGGCGGCGAUGCAGGUCGCCGGGGGCAACCCCCGUCUGACCCAGCUCUGCUCAAGGUGGCAGCAGGUGUGGCUGCUUGCCCUCGACCGCCAGCGGAAGCUCAACGACGCCCUCGACAGGCUUGAAGAGCUGAAAGAGUUUGCCAGCUUUGACUUUGACGUGUGGAGGAAGAAGUACAUGCGCUGGAUGAACCACAAGAAGUCCCGCGUCAUGGACUUCUUCAGACGCAUCGACAAGGACCAGGACGGAAAGAUCACUCGCCAGGAGUUCAUCGACGGCAUCCUGGCCUCAAAGUUCCCCACCAGCAGGUUGGAGAUGACGGCGGUGGCAGACAUCUUUGAUCAGGACGGAGACGGUUACAUCGACUACUACGAGUUUGUGGCGGCGCUGCACCCCAACAAGGACGCCUACCGGCCCACCACCGACGCUGACAAGAUAGAAGACGAGGUGACCAGACAGGUGGCACAGUGUAAAUGUGCCAAGCGGUUCCAGGUGGAGCAGAUAGGAGAGAACAAGUACAGAAUGGGCCAGAGCAAUUACAAGGUGAGUUACACCUGAGUCUACAGUGCUGUGGACGUAAACAACAAUAAUCUUAAAAGCUUUUUUUUGCUUGGACAGCUUCUACUUAGCUAAAUACAGUUUUCAGAUCCUACUUGACGGAGUGAGUCUUGGUAAUGUUAAGAAUAAUGUGCAUUUUUUUUUUUUAAGUUUGCAGUCAUGGUGGGUCUAGGGCUGAAUCUAAAAUGGCACCCUAUUCCCUAUAUAGUGCACAACUUUUGACCAUAGUGCACUACCUUUUGAACAGGGCCCUGGACAAAAGUAGAGCUCUAUAUAGAAGAGAAUAGGUUGUCAUUUCAGACACACCCUAGUGUUUUUUUAGCUGAUGCUGGCUGUGUGUCACUACUACUUUGAGCACCAAUAACUGCUGUUGUUGAACUAACGAAUGACAUCACUCCAUUCCUCACGCAUUUAAAUGUUAGCCAAUAGCAGUAGCACUCAGCUGUAUCCAUGGAAAUGCCGGCUUUGUAAGCAAGCUUCUCUAAGCUUUGCCAUAUACUCCUAUAAGGUGGUCGCAUAUUAUUGACAAUUACGAAGAAAUCCGCGAGCCAAAAAAAGAGCGUCUCACAGGCCGCAUCUGGCCCGCGGACUGUAUGUUGUGCACCCCGAAGCGCUUCAACGUGUCGUGUCUCUGUAGACAUAUCUCUAAUCACAGCACUAUGGGAUUGAUAUGCUGUGUGUGCUUCCCACCAACAAACUAAUAUAACACUAAAUAUAACUUUUAAACCAUAACAUUUAUCACAGCUCCAGGAUUAGCAACUACUACCAUCGCAGUUUUUUGUUGUUGUGAUCUACAUCAUCAUUAUCCAUGGGUUAAUGACCUCCCGUGUCUGGCGAAAGACGCUGGACUAUAAACUAACUGCACCGAGCUUGGGUCACGUGACACCACACCUCUCUGUCUGUCUGACUCUCUUCUUGUGUGUGUCCGGCUUCACCCUUCACUGACGGAUCCAUCUCGCUGUGAAUUGUAAAAAAUUUAAAAAAGUAUUACGUAGAACGUAGAGUGAGCUACAGUUUAAUUUCUCUUUCCAAAUGAGGUCUUCUCCAAUGUCAGGUUUAGUGUGAAGUAUUUUUUUGUCUGUACAAUGUUAUUUCAUUCUUUCUCUUUCUCUUUGUUUAUUCCUCCUCCACGUCUGCUGGAUUUAUUGUAGUUCUUCCUUGGAAACCAGGUAAAUUUGACUCCAGUGUUUGGUCCUUUUGAAAUCUGCUUCCUGGAUCUCCACCAAUGCAGUGGCCUCAAUUCUGCCGCCACAAAAACUGUUGCCAUGGUGACAUUGCAUUUCGUGUUUGACCGGAAAUGACAUAACGCCAUCAAAUAUAGCAUUACACUGUGGGUGCGAAUUAUGGAAGUGGGUUUCAUAGGCCAUUGAGGUUGUUCUCUUGGUGUGAUUUUGCAGAUUUGAAAGACUUCUUUUGAGAAUGACAAUUUGGCAAACUGGAAUGGGUUAUAAUGAUAAGGGUUAUAAUGGGAACCAGGGGUUACCCUAUCUGAUUAGCUUUGGACUGGGGCAAAUUGAAAAAUCAUGCUGUUCUGAGAGUAAUUCAAAAUGGACAUUGGGUCCCUUAUCUGUUUGUGCCGUCUUGCCAACUCUAUGGUCAUUGUCACAAUAAUCAAACAUUACCAAAGAGUUGACAAGACAGCACAAACAGACACAGGCUAAUCAAAGAGAACUCUGACUUGGUAUUGCUUCACAGAAGAGAAACUCUCUGAAAGUGUAAAUGUCCUUCUGCAUGAAACAAAGCUGUCUAAGGUAGAAUGAAACCUUUUAGAGAUGACUAUGGGAACUGAUCUUUUGUUUUAGAUUGUUGGGUAAGCUGGGCUUUUGACAGGUGAUUUUAGUAGUAUCAUCAGUGCAUGGGUGUUGUAGUAUAAUUUGCAUGGAGUGACGUAUACUUUUGCUCUGAUUGGUUUGUGCUGCUGUGUAGAAUGGCUUUUGGAUUCAAAAGAAAUCUCAUGUCAAUAAUCGUUGUACUUGGUUGCACUGAAUUCCUCUCUGUUUCUCCUCUCCGUUGCGGUGUUAGUUUGGAGACUCGCAGCAGUUGCGGUUGGUGCGUAUCCUGCGCAGUACGGUCAUGGUGCGGGUCGGAGGGGGCUGGAUGGCCCUGGAUGAGUUCCUGGUCAAGAACGAUCCCUGCAGAGCCCGAGGCCGUACCAACCUGGAGCUGCGUGAGAAGUUCAUCCUACCGGAGGGGGCUUCCCAGGGCCUGGCAGCGUUCCGUUCCCGUGGCCGGCGCUCCAAACCCGGCUCCCGCACAGCCUCGCCCACCCGCUCCUCCUCCUCAGCCUCACACAGCGCACAUAGCUGCGCCUCCCUGCCCUCCACUCCCGCCACCCCUACUGCCUCCUCCAGAUCCUCAAACUCGCGUGGCUAUGCCAAGCCCUGGCUGGCACACAGUAAAACGCCAACGCCAACCAAGUGCCAGUCCUGCCCAGACCACGACCACACCACCCCUGGGCACGAGGGGGCAGUUUCGGGGUCCAAGCUGAAGAGGCCCACCUUCCACUCCAGCCGAGGGUCUCUGACUGGAGAGAAUGGAGGAGCUACACCCACUUCUACUAAACCUGGACGCACCGACCCCAGGCGUACCCCAUCGGGAGCCAGUGGUGCUGCCAGCCGGGCGGGCAGCAGAGCGGGCAGCAGGGCCAGCAGCCGGCGGGGCAGCGACGCUUCGGAUGCCUCGGAGCUCCUGGAGACGCGCUCGGCCUGCUCGGACACCUCGGACACCCCCCGGCGACCAGGAGCAGCCAAGCCCUCCAAGAUCCCUACCAUCUCCAAGAAGACCCCAAGCCCCAAGACACCCGCUUCUGGGAAGAAGUAGUGAAGGAGACGUGUACAAAACCGUCAUACAUCUAACUAUAGAGCUGGUUUGACUCCACGGGCUACCCCAGCCCCCCCAAACACCAGCCAGGAUGAAAUGGAGAGGAAGAUGUCCAAACUAUACAAUUAGAUCAAGUAGAACGGACCGUCUUCCAUUUCAAAGAGAUGCUCUAUAGUGGACAGACUACUGGCGGCCAUAUUGGGUGUCACAUUUGAUCCAAACAUCCAUCCAUAGGGCUUGCAUGGGAUUCAUGCACCAAGACUACUGUAUGGAAGGCAGGUAGAGAGGGGGAUAGAUGGGGGGGAGAAGUAUCUUUCUCUUUUUUCCCCACUUUCGUACACACACUCACUGGGGGGCCCCGAGGCCCGGGUUCGUGCACUUAGACUGGGGUGAAACAGGACAGAACUUCCCCCUUUAAAACCCAGAUCCCAGUUUGCCUUCCAGUCUCCUGUGCGCUCUCUCUCGUAACGGGAUUGUGCUAAGACUGUUUCAGAGAAAGCCACAGCAGUUUGAACCAACCAACAUGAUGCUGCCUUAUUUGUGUUGCACAUUUCUGUCCUUACUUUUACCUAAUCUGAGUUCCACAGAGCGUUAGGUAGAGCCUUGUAACUACUUUGUGCAUGUACACACUGACACACACACACAACUGAAAUACGCACACACACAUUGAGGGUAGUGAUGAAAUGACUCAGAACUUGCUGGAGAAUGGCAUUCCGAAGAACUGGAUUGUGGGUAUUGUGGAAAGUGUUUCUCACCGGGAGUUAAACAGAAAAUAUCCAAUGACUGCCAUCUUGUUUUUUACUCUCCUGGACUGGGAAGUGAAGAGGAAUUUCACUUCAUGUCUGUGGGUCGGGAACAACCGGACUAGCGUGGAUUUAUGUUCAGUGUGUGGGCUGCCCCACUCUGACAACUGCCUAAACCUCAAGCCUAGGAGACCGUGGAAGUGGUGGGAAACACACAUACACACUGCAAUGUCCUCACAAACCACUGCAACAAUCAGUGUGUUGGUCGGUGGGAGUGUGUGUUUGAUGGAAUGGAGGGUUUGUCAUAUGGCCCCAUUAGUCUGAAGCGAACACUCAGAUUCAAAGAUGACUUCUUGUCGGGACCCCACUAACAGCAAAAACGUGACAAAAUGUGUAACAAUGAAGUGGCUUGUAAGGACAUGCACAAUUUAACACAAUUGAUACUAGGCUUAUUCCAGAUUAGAGAUUGAAAACCGGCGCACACUGACAGUCUGUAUCGCUGUAAUUCCACUUCGCCCCUCUCCCCUCCGUUGCCGCUGGGAACCCCCAGAGCAGCAGACAUAAAUGUUUGUGUAUACGCGUGUCGUCGUAACGCGGUACAGAAAUCAGAGGUCCUCCGCGUGCAUCGCUGUGUGCAAAGAUUUGAUUUGUUGAAUGUCUUUCUUUCAUUCUGAUUAAUUUAUAAUCCUGUUCUAUUUUUUUGUUUGUUGCUUUUCUAGCUUAAGAAAACAGUUUUAUUUAUUUUUCACCUUGGAGAAUGAUUAGUAUUAAGAUGAAUGAAGUCAUGAUAUUUUGUACCAAGGAAAAUGUCCGCUCCUCUCUUCAACGUUGUAUGUUUCUACUUCUUCAUAACAUUACUCAACCAGGAAGCUGACUGAUUCCCAUGGCAGCCUUUUUUUUUUUUUUUUUGCUAAUGACUACAACUCCCAGAACAUGACCAAAGGGGGUUGCCCUUAUUGUGUUGGCAAAAAAAAACUUUGAAUAUGAAUGAAAGGGAGCUGAAGGGGCCAAUGAGAGAACCCCUAGUGUCCCGCCUUAUAGGCGUUUGAAUUGUCAUGUCUUUGAUGGCUGCAAAUGUGCUUCCCUGUUUGUUGAUGUGAGAGCUGAAGUAUAUGAAAACCUACUGAACGCAAGUGACAUCUUAAGGUGAUUUUUAUUUAUUUAUUGUCUCUUUUGGGGGUGGGGAUCCGGGCGCAGGAGAGGAACUCACCUUUUGGUGUUAUUCAGUGUGAUGAAGAGAAAAUAUGGAGGGGGGGGGCGGUUAGAAGACAAUUGUGUAAAAUAAAAAUAUAAGAUUAUAAACCUUUUUGUUCUCAUUUUGUAUUAAAAAAUAUGCUUGCAGUAAAAAAAAGAAA